rnacentral:rRNA from 1 species
CCCGCUGAACUUAAGCAUAUCAAUAAGCGGAGGAAAAGAAACCAACAGGGAUUACCUCAGUAACGGCGAGUGAAGCGGUAACAGCUCAAAUUUGAAAUCUGGCUCUUUCAGGGUCCGAGUUGUAAUUUGUAGAAGAUGCUUCGGGUGUGGCUCCGGUCUAAGUUCCUUGGAACAGGACGUCAUAGAGGGUGAGAAUCCCGUAUGUGACUGGUUGCCUUCGCCCAUGUGAAGCUCUUUCGACGAGUCGAGUUGUUUGGGAAUGCAGCUCUAAAUGGGUGGUAAAUUUCAUCUAAAGCUAAAUAUUGGCCAGAGACCGAUAGCGCACAAGUAGAGUGAUCGAAAGAUGAAAAGCACUUUGGAAAGAGAGUUAAACAGUACGUGAAAUUGUUGAAAGGGAAGCGCUUGCAACCAGACUUGCACGCCGUCGAUCAUCCUCUGUUCUCAGGGGUGCACUCGGCGGUGUUCAGGCCAGCAUCGGUUUCGGUGGUGGGAUAAAGGCCUUGGGAACGUAGCUCCUCUCGGGGAGUGUUAUAGCCCUCGGUGCAAUGCCGCCUACUGGGACCGAGGACCGCGCUUCGGCUAGGAUGCUGGCGUAAUGGUUGUAAGCGACCCGUCUUGAAACACGG